UGUGUGUAACCAGGACCUCAUUG
rnacentral:piRNA from 1 species